rnacentral:rRNA from 1 species
UACGUAGGGUGCAAGCGUUGUCCGGAAUUAUUGGGCGUAAAGAGCUCGUAGGCGGUCUGUUACGUCCGCUGUGAAAACCCAGGGCUUAGCCCUGGGCUUGCAGUGGAUACGGGCAGACUAGAGGCAGGUAGGGGAGAAUGGAAUUCCCGGUGUAGCGGUGAAAUGCGCAGAUAUCGGGAGGAACACCGGUGGCGAAGGCGGUUCUCUGGGCCUGACCUGACGCUGAGGAGCGAAAGCGUGGGGAGCGAACAGG